GGCCUCUGUACACAAGCUGUCACUCCAAGAUGAGCCCGCGGCCCAUCAGCUAGUUGGCGGGGUAAUGGCCCACCAAGGCUACGACGGGUAGCUGGUCUGAGAGGACGAUCAGCCACACUGGAACUGAGACACGGUCCAGACUCCUACGGGAGGCAGCAGUGAGGAAUAUUGCGCAAUGGGCGAAAGCCUGACGCAGCAACGCCGCGUGUGUGAUGAAGGUCUUCGGAUCGUAAAGCACUGUCGGGAGGGACGAAUAAGGCGGCGGCUAACAUCCGCAGCCGAUGACGGUACCUCCAAAGGAAGCACCGGCUAACUCUGUGCCAGCAGCCGCGGUAAUACAGAGGGUGCUAGCGUUGUUCGGAAUUAUUGGGCGUAAAGCGCGUGUAGGCGGCCUUGCAAGUUGGGUGUGAAAGCCCUCGGCUUAACCGAGGAAGUGCGCCCAAAACUACAAGGCUUGAGUACCGGAGAGGGUGGCGGAAUUCCCGGUGUAGAGGUGAAAUUCGUAGAUAUCGGGAGGAACACCAGUGGCGAAGGCGGCCACCUGGACGGAUACUGACGCUGAGACGCGAAAGCGUGGGUAGCA
rnacentral:rRNA from 1 species